CAGCCCCCCUAACCAAGUUCGCCGUCACUGUCCACAUAGCGUCCGCUUCCCCGUAACUUCUCCAAGCUCCGCCCUCCACUAACCUCCUUUCCAACUCCUAUGCUUUCUCCUUAGACAAAGCGCCCCAUCUAAUCCUCGGUUGCCCCUGGGCGCCCCUCCGCUUCUUCUUAACCCAAAGAUCGGCAUCCAACACUAGAAGUCUAUGAAGA
rnacentral:lncRNA from 1 species